rnacentral:lncRNA from 1 species
GAAAUUGGGGGACAACAGGAUAUGACCCAAGAAAAAGUGAUCAUCACCAAUGGAGGCGUGGAGAAAGACACCAUAGCACUUACAAACCAUCCAAAAAAGCAACGGAUGACAAAUGGGUUCAACCCAUUAGAGAUGCUCAAGGACAGAAAAAAUGGAGAAAUUUUGAAGUUCAGAGAGGCACUUCGAUGGAAGGUAAGAAGGAGGUGGAGAAGCACAAGCCGAGACCAUAUCCUUCAGAAAACUACAAAGGAAAAAACCCUAUGUCAAGAUCCC